rnacentral:rRNA from 1 species
AUACGGAGGGUCCAAGCGUUAUCCGGAAUCAUUGGGUUUAAAGGGUCCGCAGGCGGUCAAUUAAGUCAGAGGUGAAAGCCCAUCGCUCAACGAUGGAACUGCCUUUGAUACUGGUUGACUUGAGUUAUACGGAAGUAGAUAGAAUAAGUAGUGUAGCGGUGAAAUGCAUAGAUAUUACUUAGAAUACCGAUUGCGAAGGCAGUCUACUACGUAUAUACUGACGCUGAGGGACGAAAGCGUGGGGAGCGUACAGGAUUAGAAACCCUAGUAGUCC